AUGCUAAGGCGCGCGGAAGAACUCUCGUUAAGGAACUCGGCAAAAUGACCCCGUAACUUCGGGAGAAGGGGUGCCCCGGUAGGGUGAAUAGCCCGAGGGGGCCGCAGUGAAAAGGCCCAAGCGACUGUUUAGCAAAAACACAGGUCUGUGCGAAGCCGCAAGGCGAAGUAUACGGGCUGACGCCUGCCCGGUGCUGGAAGGUUAAGGGGAGCGGUUAGGGUAAGACCGAAGCUGUGAACCGAAGCCCCAGUAAACGGCGGCCGUAACUAUAACGGUCCUAAGGUAGCGAAAUUCCUUGUCAGGUAAAUUCUGACCCGCACGAAUGGCGUAACGACUUGGGCGCUGUCUCGACGAGAGAUCCGGUGAAAUUUUAAUACCUGUGAAGAUGCAGGUUACCCGCGACAAGACGGAAAGACCCCAUGGAGCUUUACUGCAGCUUGAUAUUGGACUUUGGUACGAUCUGUACAGGAUAGGUGGGAGCCAGAGAAGCAUGAGCGCCAGCUUGUGUGGAGGCGACGUUGGGAUACCACCCUGAUCGUAUCGGAGUUCUAACCUGGUGCCCUAAGCGGGUAUGGGGACAGUGUCAGGUGGGCAGUUUGACUGGGGCGGUCGCCUCCUAAAGCGUAACGGAGGCGCCCCAAGGUUCCCUCAGAAUGGUUGGAAAUCAUUCGCAGAGUGCAAAGGCAAAAGGGAGCUUGACUGCGAGACAAACAGGUCGAGCAGGGACGAAAGUCGGGCUUAGUGAUCCGGUGGUACCGAAUGGAAGGGCCAUCGCUCAACGGAUAAAAGCUACCCUGGGGAUAACAGGCUUAUCUCCCCCAAGAGUCCACAUCGACGGGGAGGUUUGGCACCUCGAUGUCGGCUCAUCGCAUCCUGGGGCUGAAGUAGGUCCCAAGGGUUGGGCUGUUCGCCCAUUAAAGCGGUACGCGAGCUGGGUUCAGAACGUCGUGAGACAGUUCGGUCCCUAUCUGUCGCGGGCGCAGGAAAUUUGAGAGGAGCUGUCCUUAGUACGAGAGGACCGGGAUGGACGUACCGCUGGUGUACCAGUUGUCUCGCCAGAGGCACGGCUGGAUAGCCAAGUACGGAAGGGAUAAGCGCUGAAAGCAUCUAAGCGUGAAGCCCCCCUCAAGAUGAGAUUUCCCAGUACGUAAGACCCCUUGUAGACGACGAGGUAGAUAGGUUCGGGGUGGAAGCACGGCAACGUGUGGAGCUGACGAAUACUAAUCGGUCGAGGGCUUAUCCAA
rnacentral:rRNA from 1 species